rnacentral:rRNA from 1 species
CCUACGGGAGGCUGCAGUGAGGAAUAUUGGUCAAUGGGCGCGAGCCUGAACCAGCCAAGUAGCGUGAGGGAUGACGGCCCUAUGGGUUGUAAACCUCUUUUGUAUGGGAAUAAAGGGCACCACGUAUGGUGCUCUGCGUGUACCCGAAGAAUAAGCAUCGGCUAACUCCGUGCCAGCAGCCGCGGUAAUACGGAGGAUCCGAGCGUUAUCCGGAUUUAUUGGGUUUAAAGGGAGCGUAGGCGGGUUGUUAAGUCAGUUGUGAAAAUGCGCGGCUCAACCGUCAACUGGCAGUUGAUACUGGCAUCCUUGAGUACAGUAGAGGUAGGCGGAAUGCGUGGUGUAGCGGUGAAAUGCUUAGAUAUCACGCAGAACUCCGAUUGCGAAGGCAGCCUGCCGGCCUGCAACUGACGCUGAUGCUCGAAAGUGUGGGUAUCAAACAGGAUUAGAUACCCUUGUAGUC